ACUCAACGUUAAUUCUUUAAAAAGGGUGAGUUUAAGUUGUAAAAGCAAGCCAUCUUUGAAUGGAUCCUUGAUCAGCUUGUUAGCCCUAAACUUGUUUUUAAGGAGUUU
rnacentral:sRNA from 2 species